GAGUUUGAUCCUGGCUCAGGAUGAACGCUAGCGGCAGGCUUAACACAUGCAAGUCGAGGGGUAUAGGCUUUCGGGCCUAGAGACCGGCGCACGGGUGCGUAACGCGUAUGCAAUCUGCCUUACACUAAGGGAUAGCCCAGAGAAAUUUGGAUUAAUACCUUAUGGUAUCUUACUAUGGCAUCAUAGUAUUAUUAAAGAUUUAUCGGUGUAAGAUGAGCAUGUGUCCCAUUAGCUAGUUGGUGUGGUAACGGCAUACCAAGGCAAUGAUGGGUAGGGGUCCUGAGAGGGAGAUCCCCCACACUGGUACUGAGACACGGACCAGACUCCUACGGGAGGCAGCAGUGAGGAAUAUUGGACAAUGGGCGCAAGCCUGAUCCAGCCAUGCCGCGUGCAGGAUGACGGUCCUAUGGAUUGUAAACUGCUUUUGUACGGGAAGAAACACUCCUACGUGUAGGGGCUUGACGGUACCGUAAGAAUAA
rnacentral:rRNA from 1 species